UGGGGGCGCAACGCCCUCGACC
rnacentral:snRNA from 1 species